rnacentral:tRNA from 13 species
GGGCGCAUAGCUCAGUUGGUAGAGCAGCUGACUCUUAAUCAGCGGGUCCCAGGUUCGAGUCCUGGUGCGCCCACCA